CAAUGUCAUCUUUCCUCUGUACAUCCACUUCCCUGAAGAGUUCCUUCAUGUUGUCUGAGGCAUUGAGAUAAAGAAAAAGACAGAGGAGUUCUGCUUUCCAAUGCCUUACAUCACCCAGACAGUUGGCAGCCAGGAGUCAGGCAGCUGCUACACUCUCCACGUAUCUAUUUAAAGUUCAAAGAGACACUGGAUAACAAUAACAAAGAGGUAAGCGUGGCCCUGACCAGCCCACCCAACAACAGGAAGAAUGGCUGAAAAAGCAGAGGCUACAUUAUCUCGCUUUGUGGUCCCUAUUCUUCUCCUAAUUGGCUGGAUUGUGGGAUGCAUCGUAAUGGUGUAUGUUGUCUUCUCUUAGAAAGGCCAGAAGACUUCAGAUUGACAUCAUUUAGAAGAAUUGAGAAAAGCAUGAAAUGACAGAUUAUUAAAUGUUUCUCAUGUAAAUAAC